rnacentral:lncRNA from 1 species
AUAAGAUCUAAUGCUCUAGCCUUGUUAUCAAGAGAACAAUGAGUUUAAAAGCUUCAAUACACUGCAAAGAGUUGAUAUUAUUAAAUUCUGUUCACCACAUUGGUAAUUCAAACAACUGAACACAUGUUGCCUAAAGAGAGUUUUACAUUUUCUGUUCAAUCCUUCUUAUGGAGGAAACAAUACUCUGCGACCUAGAAAACCCACUAUCUCUCCCACAAACCAUAAAUGCAUCUCCAAGUUAUCUUGUCCUACAAGCCUCACUCAACAUAGAACUAUGCUGUCUCUAGGAUACAUGGAAUUUCUACCUUUAACAAAGACUCCUGUCUGCUUAAAGAAUAAGGGCUUAACAAGUUAUUUCCAAAAUUCUGCAACUCUUAGGAGACUAUCUGAGCAGGAAAACUGAAAAUUUGCUCUUCUAAGCCUUGCACGUGCACCAUGAAAUGAAUGGAUGCUUUUUCUUUAACUAAAUUGUAAUUUUACCUUAUUUUAAUAGCAGGAAUGGCAGCAAGUCCAUAUAUUCCUCAAUUUCACUCAUCUAAUAUAAUGUCCAAAAAUAAUAUGCAAAGUCUAGAGCCAAUCUCUGAAACACUGAGACCUGGAUCUAGGAGUUGGUGGUGGUGAAGGAAUGUGAACUUUUCAGGAAGUGCAGAGGCAGUGCAGUUCCUAGCACUGUGUGGAAAUGAGGUUGCUGAGGUCCUUGAGAUUGGGAGAAAAGACAUGUUGUGGAGGUAAGUUGGUGGAGCAGAGCCUGAAGGUAUUGAGCAAGAAAAGACUUUCAACUCUAUGACCUACACUUCAGGUACUGAAAUAUCUGAGCAAUUAUCCCUGAAGCUCCCACCAAAUGUGGUCAAAGAAUCUGCCAGAGCCUCUUUCUCAGUUUCGGGUGAGUCAUCUUGCACCAGGAAACUUGGGACAAAAGAGCAGUCAUCAUACAUCUAUAUCUAUAUACAUAUAUCUACAUAUCUGAAGGGGUUAAGAUUUAUUUAUUUAUUUGACAGAGAGAGAGAGAGUGUGUGUGUGUGUGUAUGUGUGUGUGUGUGUGCAAGUAGGGGGAGGGGCAGAGAGAGACAAUCUUCAAG